UACGUGCUCCGGGGUCGGUGUAAUUCCGAACCGGCGGUGACAGUCCGCGACCCGUGAGGCCCUUGGGCCGAGCGGUUGACCUGGUGGAACUCCAGGACCGACGGUGAAAGUCCGGAUGGGAGGAAGCACGAG
rnacentral:ncRNA from 2 species